rnacentral:lncRNA from 1 species
UGCACCUGUAGUCCUAGCUACUUGGGAGGCUGAGGCAGGAGGAUCGCUUGAGCCCAGGAUGUCAAGACUGCAGUGAGCUGUGAUCGUGCAGUGGCUGGAGCCACUGUGCUCCAGCCUGGGUGACAGAGCCAGACCCUGUCUCAAAAAUUAGAAUCUCAGUAUCAUCGUAACACUCCUGAACCUGCUGUUUAGCCUAAUGACAGUGAAGUGGACAUGUUUGGUGACUAUGAUAGCUUUACUGAAAACUCCUUUAUAGCUCAAGUUGACGACCUGGAACAAAAAUAUAUGCAACUCCCUGAACAUAAGAAACAUGCUACAGACUUUGCCACUGAAAAUCUUUGCUCGGAAAGUAUCAAAAACAAACUCAGCAUUACUACCAUA